ensembl:snRNA U1 U1 spliceosomal RNA
AUACUUACCUGGCAGGGGAGAUAGCAUGAUCCCUAAGGUGGUUUUUCCCAGGGGGAGGUUUUUCCAUUGCACUCCGGAUGUGUUGACCCCUGCGAUUUCCCGAAGUGUGGGAAACUCGACUGCAUAAUUUGUGGUAGUGGGGGACUGUGUUCGCGCUUUCCCCUG